rnacentral:rRNA from 1 species
ACACAUGCAAGUCGAACGGAACCUUUAGGGGUUUAGUGGCGGACGGGUGAGUAACGCGUGAGAAUCUGGCUCUAGGUUCGGGACAACCACUGGAAACGGUGGCUAAUACCGGGUAUGCCGAGAGGUGAAAGGUUAACUGCCUGGAGAUGAGCUCGCGUCUGAUUAGCUAGUUGGUGGUGUAAGGGACUACCAAGGCGACGAUCAGUAGCUGGUCUGAGAGGAUGAUCAGCCACACUGGAACUGAGACACGGUCCAGACUCCUACGGGAGGCAGCAGUGGGGAAUUUUCCGCAAUGGGCGAAAGCCUGACGGAGCAAUACCGCGUGAGGGAGGAAGGCUCUUGGGUUGUAAACCUCUUUUCUCAGGGAAUAAGCAAGUGAAGGUACCUGAGGAAUCAGCAUCGGCUAACUCCGUGCCAGCAGCCGCGGUAAUACGGAGGAUGCAAGCGUUAUCCGGAAUGAUUGGGCGUAAAGCGUCCGUAGGUGGCUGUGUGUGUCUAUUGUUAAAGAGUUUGGCUCAACCAAAUAAGGGCGGUAGAAACUACACAGCUAGAGUGCGUUCGGGGCAGAGGGAAUUCCUGGUGUAGCGGUGAAAUGCGUAGAGAUCAGGAAGAACACCGGUGGCGAAAGCGCUCUGCUAGGCCGCAACUGACACUGAGGGACGAAAGCUAGGGGAGCGAAUGGGAUUAGAUACCCCAGUAGUCCUAGCCGUAAACGAUGGAUACUAGGCGUUGAGAGUAUCGACCCUCUCAGUGCCGUAGCUAACGCGUUAAGUAUCCCGCCUGGGGAGUACGCACGCAAGUGUGAAACUCAAAGGAAUUGACGGGGGCCCGCACAAGCGGUGGAGUAUGUGGUUUAAUUCGAUGCAACGCGAAGAACCUUACCAGGGCUUGACAUGUCUGGAACUCUGGGGAAACUCGGAGUUGCCUUCGGGAGCCAGAACACAGGUGGUGCAUGGGCUGUCGUCAGCUCGUGUCGUGAGAUGUUGGGUUAAGUCCCGCAACGAGCGCAACCCUCGUACUUAGUUGCCAGCAUUUCGGAUGGGCACUCUAAGGAGACUGCCGGUGACAAACCGGAGGAAGGUGGGGAUGACGUCAAGUCAGCAUGCCCCUUACGUCCUGGGCUACACACGUACUACAAUGCUACGGACAAAGGGCAGCGAGACUGCGAAGUCAAGCAAAUCUCAGAAACCGUGGCUCAGUUCAGAUCGCAGGCUGCAACUCGCCUGCGUGAAGGAGGAAUCGCUAGUAAUUGCAGGUCAGCAUACUGCAGUGAAUUCGUUCCCGGGCCUUGUACACACCGCCCGUCACACCAUGGAAGCUGGUCACGCCCGAAGUCGUUACCCUAACUUUUCGGAGAGGG